rnacentral:lncRNA from 10 species
CCCAGGCCUCGCCAGGCCCCGGCCCUCCGCAGGCCUCAGUUCCCUUGUCUAUAAAAUGGGAGGUGGAGCCCUUGGGAGCAGAGCUGCUCACCUUUUAAGAGCAUGUCCCUGCCUGGUGCCAGGGAUAUAGAAAUAGACAAGAUCCUGUCCUGCCCUUGAGGAACUCAUGGACACAAGAACCAGAGAUUAGCACCCAAUGUGAUCAGUGCUGGGGGAGAAAGAAGCCCAGGGCAGAGGUGCGAGAAUACCAGAGGAGCCCCUCACUAGACAUGUGAGGAGGUCAGGGAAGGCUUUUGGGGGAGAAGACCCCUCCCCCUCCCCCUCCUUUGUUUUUUAUUUUUGAGAAAAGAUCUUGCUCUGUCACCCAGCAAUCACUGCUCGCUGUAUCCUCAACCUCCCAGGCUCAAGCUCAGCCUCCUGAGUAGCAGAGAUUACAGCCUACACCAACGUACCCAGCAAAAAAUACUCUUCAAAAAC